AACGAACGCUGGCGGCAGGCCUAACACAUGCCAGUCGAGCGAGGACUUCGGUCCUAGCGGCGGACGGCGGAGGACCACGUGGUAAGGUGCCCUUGGCUACGGAAUAGCUCUGGGAAACUGGGCGUCAUACCGGAGGGGCCCUUUGGGGGAAAGAGUUAUCGGCGAAGGAUCGGCCCUCGUAGGAUUAGGCAGUUGGUGGUGUAAUGGCGUGCCAAGCCGACGAUCCAUAGCUGGUAGGAGAGGAUGAUAAGCCACACUGGGACUGAGACACGGACCAGACUCCUACGGGAGGCAGCAGUGGGGAAUAUUAGGGAAUGAGGGAAGCCCUGGUCUAGCCGUGCGGCGUGAGCGAUGAAGGGCGUAGGGUUGUAAAGCUCUUUCAGCUGAGAAGAUAAUGACGGUACCAGCAGAAGAAGCCCCGGCUAACUCCGUG
rnacentral:rRNA from 1 species